rnacentral:rRNA from 1 species
AACGCGAAGAACCUUACCAAAUCUUGACAUCCUUUGACCACUCUGGAGACAGAGCUUUCCCCUUCGGGGGACAAAGUGACAGGUGGUGCAUGGUUGUCGUCAGCUCGUGUCGUGAGAUGUUGGGUUAAGUCCCGCAACGAGCGCAACCCUUAAGCUUAGUUGCCAUCAUUAAGUUGGGCACUCUAAGUUGACUGCCGGUGACAAACCGGAGGAAGGUGGGGAUGACGUCAAAUCAUCAUGCCCCUUAUGAUUUGGGCUACACACGUGCUACAAUGGACAAUACAAAGGGCAGCUAAACCGCGAGGUCAUGCAAAUCCCAUAAAGUUGUUCUCAGUUCGGAUUGUAGUCUGCAACUCGACUACAUGAAGCUGGAAUCGCUAGUAAUCGUAGAUCAGCAUGCUACGGUGAAUACGUUCCCGGGCCUUGUACACACCG